rnacentral:sRNA from 1 species
CCCAAGACUCACGUCAUUGGGCUAGAUUCUAGCGUACCUUCGGCACU